rnacentral:rRNA from 1 species
UACGGAGGGUGCGAGCGUUGUCCGGAAUUACUGGGCGUAAAGGGCGCGUAGGUGGCUUUGAUAGUCGGGUGUGAAAUGCCUGGGCUUAACCCAGGAACUGCACUCGAAACUCCAAGGCUUGAGUGCGGGAGAGGUUGGUGGAAUUCCCAGUGUAGAGGUGAAAUUCGUAGAUAUUGGGAAGAACACCGGUGGCGAAGGCGGCCAACUGGACCACAACUGACACUGAGGCGCGAAAGCGUGGGGAGCAAACAGG